UACGUAGGGCGCAAGCGUUAUCCGGAAUUAUUGGGCGUAAAGAGCUCGUAGGCGGUUUGUCGCGUCUGCCGUGAAAGUCCGGGGCUCAACUCCGGGAUCUGCGGUGGGUACGGGCAGACGUAGAGUGAUGUAGGGGAGACUGGAAUUCCUGGGUGUAGCGGUGAAAUGCGCAGAUAUCAGGAGGAACACCGAUGGCGAAGGCAGGUCUCUGGG
rnacentral:rRNA from 1 species